rnacentral:RNase_P_RNA from 1 species
GGAGCCGGCCGGGUGGCGGCGCCCGGCGAUUUCGCGCCGGGUGAGGAAAGUCCGGACUUCGCAGGGCACGGCGCCCUGGGCAACCAGGGGCGGGGCGACCCGACGGAAAGUGCCACAGAAACCAAACCGCCCCGGCUCGUUCGGGGUAAGGGUGAAACAGUGGGGUAAGAGCCCACUCCGGUCCGCCGCAAGGCGGGUCCGGGGGCAAACCCCGCCGGAAGCAAGGCCGAAUAGGGAGGCGACGACGCUGCCCGCCGAGCCUCCGGGUUGGCCGCUCAGACAGAUCGCCACACAAAGACAGAAUCCGGCUUACAGGCCGACUCCCCAA